rnacentral:rRNA from 1 species
AGAGUUUGAUCCUGGCUCAGGAUAAACGCUGGCGGCGUGCAUGAGACAUGCAAGUCGAACGGACGAUCAGGGCUUGCUCUGAUCGUUAGUGGCGGACGGCUGAGUAACGCGUAGGUGACCUGCCCCGAAGUGGGGAAUAACUGCCCGAAAGGGUGGCUAAUACCGCAUGCGGAGCCACGUUCGAUCGUGUCUCCAAAGCCGCAAGGCGCUUCGGGAGGGGCCUGCGUCCGAUUAGCUCGUUGGUGAGGUAACGGCUCACCAAGGCGACGAUCAGUAGCUGGUCUGAGAGGAUGAUCAGCCACAUUGGGACUGAGACACGGCCCAGACUCCUACGGGAGGCAGCAGUAGGGAAUCUUGCGCAAUGGGCGAAAGCCUGACGCAGCGACGCCGCGUGAGGGAAGAAGGCCUUCGGGUUGUAAACCUCUUUCAGGAGGGACGAAGCUACUCGGGUUAAUAGCCCAGAGGGUGACGGUACCUCCAGAAGAAGCCCCGGCUAACUACGUGCCAGCCGCCGCGGUAAUAC